AAAAAUACCUAGGGGUGAGAGAGAAAGCAGAGAUAGAAAGUAAAGGAGUGGGGGAGUAGGAGGAUGCAGGACGAGAGGGAGAGAGAACUGAUUACAUUGGAGAAAGCAAAAGAGGUGUACGGGCACAAGAGAGAGAGAGAGAGAGAGAGAGAGAGAGAGAAACAGACGGGAAGGUGGGGGAGUAAAUGCAGCUUGCCUUCCCUGUGUCCCAAAAUCCCAGUCAGGUCCACGGGCAGGCGGAAGAAUUGGACCUGAAUCAACAAAUGGACACAGAGAAACUGGAUAUAGUCCGGCUACGAGGAGAAAAUAAAGGAGAAGAAAGCGUGCGGCUUCGUGUUCUUUAAUGUCUCCAUCAUAUCCUGCUGUGAGGGAGCCACAGGACGGGGAGAGAGAGAGAGAGAGAGAGAGAGAGAGAGAGAGAGAGAGAGAGAGAGAGAGAGAGAGAGAGAGAGAGAAAACAGCGGACUUUGCCUGCACCCUUGGAUGCCAAGGAGCUGUGAGCUAGAAUCGAGUGGACUGUGGGACCUGCUUUGACUGAAUGCAUAUGCACAAUGGGCAGCCUUGCAGAAAAGGGCACCAAAUAGACAAAAUGGACACUAACAGACACCCUCCAGCAACAAGCGCUCCACACCUGAGAACCGUCACCUCAUCCAGCCGUUGGCGAGAACCGCCCCAGCACGGGGCCAGUCAGCAGAGUUGAGGCUGGACAAUUCACAGCGGGUCUCCAAAAAGAGGAAAUACAUAAACGUAGCAGGCAACAAGCCUCAGAGGAGUCCAAUUACAACAACACAACCCCGCUUUAGAUCAUUUGACUGAGGUUCUUGGACUUUGUCAGAAAUUAAAUAGUCAAAAGUGAUGCUUGAGCAGUGGUAUGGAGCUUUUGGACAUGUCCGGAUUUAUCGACCAGUUAUCCUCCUGAGAUUACGACAUUUUUGUGCACACUUCAGACCUGGG